rnacentral:rRNA from 1 species
GACGAACGCUGGCGGCGUGCUUAACACAUGCAAGUCGAACGGAGAGGCCCUGCUUUUGUGGGGUGCACGAGUGGCGAACGGGUGAGUAACACGUGAGUAACCUGCCUUUGACUUUGGGAUAACUUCAGGAAACUAGGGCUAAUACCGGAUAGGAGCACCUGCUGCAUGGUGGGGGUUGGAAAGUUUCGGCGGCUGGGCAUGGACACGCGGCUUCUUAGCUUGUUGGUGGGGUAGUGGCUUACCAAGGCUUUGACGGGUAGCCGGCCUGAGAGGGUGACCGGCCACAUUGGGACUGGAAUACGGCCCAGACUCCUACGGGAGGCAGCAGUGGGGAAUAUUGCACAAUGGGCGGAAUCCUGAUGCAGCACCGCCGCGUGCGGAAUGACGGCCUUCGGGUUGUAAACCGCUUUCGCCUGUGACGAAGCGUGAGUGACGGUAAUGGGUAAAGAAGCACCGGCUAACUACGUG